rnacentral:rRNA from 1 species
UGGUGGAAUGAUUUGUCUGCUCAAUUCUGUUAACGAACAAGACCUUAAUCUGCUAAAUAGUUGUGUGUAUCCUCGGUUACAUCGGAAACUUCUUAGAGGGACUUUGCGUGUCGAACGCAAGUAAGUUCAUGGCAAUAACA